rnacentral:rRNA from 1 species
GAUGAACGCUGGCGGCGUGCCUAAUACAUGCAAGUCGAGCGAACAGACGAGGAGCUUGCUCCUCUGACGUUAGCGGCGGACGGGUGAGUAACACGUGGAUAACCUACCUAUAAGACUGGGAUAACUUCGGGAAACCGGAGCUAAUACCGGAUAAUAUAUUGAACCGCAUGGUUCAAUAGUGAAAGACGGUUUUGCUGUCACUUAUAGAUGGAUCCGCGCCGCAUUAGCUAGUUGGUAAGGUAACGGCUUACCAAGGCAACGAUGCGUAGCCGACCUGAGAGGGUGAUCGGCCACACUGGAACUGAGACACGGUCCAGACUCCUACGGGAGGCAGCAGUAGGGAAUCUUCCGCAAUGGGCGAAAGCCUGACGGAGCAACGCCGCGUGAGUGAUGAAGGUCUUCGGAUCGUAAAACUCUGUUAUUAGGGAAGAACAAAUGUAUAAGUAACUAUGCACGUCUUGACGGUACCUAAUCAGAAAGCCACGGAUAACUACGUG